rnacentral:rRNA from 1 species
AGUAACGGCGAGUGAAGCGGCAACAGCUCAAAUUUGAAAUCUGGCCUUUGGCCCGAGUUGUAAUUUGUAGAGGAUGCUUUUGGUGCGGUGCCUUCCGAGUUCCCUGGGACGGGACGCCUUAGAGGGUGAGAGCCCCGUACGGUUGGACGCCUAGCCUCUAUAAAGCUCCUUCGACGAGUCGAGUUGUUUGGGA